CAUAACUGUUUUAACUGUUUUAACUCUUUUAACUGCCUUUAAGGAGGUAGAGCAAAACUUUCCACUCUGUAAGUGCAUGUAAGUGCAGACCAUGCAUAAGGACUUUUUUUUCCCCCCCAAAAAGUACUGCAUGGAAAGAAAAACAGUAACUUUACAAAUACUAUCUCAAGCCAGGUGAUCAAGGUUAACAUCAACAGUGAUAAGUCAUAAUGAUAGUAUGUACCCUUCAAAUUAUAUGAUGAGAAUGCCAUCUUACCUCUCUGUCUUCCUCCCAAAAACAUACUAACCAUGAGGAAAACAUCAAAUUCCAGUUAAAGGAGAUUCUACAAAAUAGGCCUGACCAGUAAUCUUCAAAAUUGUGAAGAUCACCAAAAUUGUCAAGAUCACCAAAAAUCUGAAAAACAGUCACAGUCCAGGGGAGCCUAAGGAGGAUAAGAACUAAAUGUGGUCCCAGACAAGAUCCUGGAACAGAAAAUGAACACUAAGGGAAAACUAAGGAAAUAUGAACAACUGUAGCAGCUGAUGUCACAAAGCCUGGCUGAGGACCAAAGAGAAACAGGUUCAUUUGGAAGUUCGUAUCUGAGCAGACUGGCUCAACCAGAAGUCCAGAAAAGUGUGGACCAGCUUCAACAGGACAGCACUAACACAGACUACUGCAGUCUCUGCACAGAGAGGCCUAAAGGAGAGGUCAUAGCAGUACUCUGCAGGUAACACUCCAUUUCCAACGAGCAGAGAAUCCCAAAGGAGGUGAUUUAGGGAUGAUCUCCAUCAGCCCUAGAGAGGGAUCGUCGUGGUCAGGAGACCCAGUUUUAGAGCCCGAAUCCUGGCCAUUCAUUGCCUAUGUGACCAGGUUACUGAGUCUCCUCUUCAUAAAGUAAUUAUGAGGAUUCAGUGAGUUGCUACAGGCAAAACGCUUAGAACAGCGCCUGUUAUAUAACAACUAACAUCAAUGUAGACUUGCUAUUUUCACUGGUAUUUUUUUUUUUUUUUUUUGACUAGCCACUUAAAUUCUGAUGUGUCUCAUGUUUGGUUAUUAGUGUCACCUAAAAGAAAUAAAACCAGUUCCUUGUUGCUUUUUUCCAUGAAA